rnacentral:rRNA from 1 species
UACGGAGGAUGCAAGCGUUAUCCGGAAUGAUUGGGCGUAAAGCGUCCGCAGGUGGCAAUGUAAGUCUGCUGUUAAAGAGUCUAGCUCAACUAGAUAAAAGCAGUGGAAACUACAUAGCUAGAGUACGUUCGGGGCAGGGGGAAUUCCUGGUGUAGCGGUGAAAUGCGUAGAGAUCAGGAAGAACACCGGUGGCGAAGGCGCUCUGCUAGGCCGUAACUGACACUGAGGGACGAAAGCUAGGGGAGCGAAUGGG